UUUUGUUAAAAUUUUGGUGUCUAGUCUUAAAUCUUGUUUAUAGUCUUCACACUUUUUAUGGAGAAAUUAUUUAACACAAAGUUUAUUCAACUUACUGGAUUGCUGUUAUCAAGCUGUUGUCAUCCACGAUAUCCCCUCGUCCUAUAUUGAUAAAAAUUGUUUUCUAAAAAAAAAAUUUUGUCACAUCAUCAUGUUGUAAAUAAAUUUUAAAAGUUUUAUUUCAUCAUGCUGUUUAUGAAUAUCUCUUUGAAAAUUGUUUGAAUAAUAAUAUACAUUUUAUUUUGUA
rnacentral:sRNA from 1 species